CGCCGCCGCGCUCGCUCGCUCCCUCCCUUCCUGCGCGCGCGGGGCGGCGAGACAGCGGCGGCGACGGCGCGGAGGCCCCGGGCGCGGCGCAGGCUCCAAAGAAGAAGAAACCAAGGCCCAGAGAGGGAGGCCCAGGUGCAGGGAGCAGGCGAGGGAAGGAUCCGUACAGGGGCCCAACACUACUCCACCAACCGAAGCCCCCAAAAGAUGAGUUCCUGUCCAGUCUGGAGAGCUAUGAGAUCGCCUUCCCCACCCGCGUGGACCACAACGGGGCACUGCUGGCCUUCUCGCCACCUCCUCCCCGGAGGCAGCGCCGCGGCACGGGGGCCACAGCCGAGUCCCGCCUCUUCUACAAAGUGGCCUCGCCCAGCACCCACUUCCUGCUGAACCUGACCCGCAGCUCCCGUCUACUGGCAGGGCACGUCUCCGUGGAGUACUGGACACGGGAGGGCCUGGCCUGGCAGAGGGCGGCCCGGCCCCACUGCCUCUACGCUGGUCACCUGCAGGGCCAGGCCAGCAGCUCCCAUGUGGCCAUCAGCACCUGUGGAGGCCUGGUGAGCUGAGGAUUCUGGAACGCGGGGGGAAAUGCCCAUAAGUUUGGAAGUUAAGAAAAACACUUCUACAUAGAGG
rnacentral:lncRNA from 1 species